rnacentral:tRNA from 1 species
GGGAUUGUAGCUCAAUGGUAGAGUUCAUACCUCACAUGCAGGAGACUCUGGGUUCAAUCCUCAGCAGUACCC